rnacentral:lncRNA from 1 species
AGUGGCCUGAUCCCUGUGACAUUUCCAUUGUCCAGGUGCAGUUCCAUAAGACAACAAAGUAGGCAAAAGAUCAGUCCAAACACAGACAAGAUCAAGAAUGUGACACAAACUGGUUGUCACACCUAAACCCACAGAGCUUAAAAAGAAGGCCCAGAGACAGAUGAGCUCACAGCAGCAAACAGGGAUUAGAAAGGUAACAGAUGCUUUUGAAUGCCAUUUUGAUGUAUUUAUAUGACACAAUGUUUAUCAUUUCUCACGAUGCGUAUCGUUCUACAGAAACCAUCCCUACAGAAAGCCUGAGACCGCAGCAGACCUUUACCCCGGCGUAAACAUGGGGACCUUUGUGAAGCAGCUGGCUCUGGUGGCUCUGUGUCUCUGCAUCUCAGCUCAGCUCACUAAAGUGCAGGCUGCACCAACCAAUCCACCGCCAAGCAGCCCAACAAGCAGCCCAACAAUGCCAACCGGAGGCACCAGCACAUGGCCAACCGGAGACAACAGCACAUGGCAACCCAGACCCUCCGGCACAUGGCAACCCGAAGACUGUAACUCCUGGUUCUGCAGUGGAGCGGAGCGGGUGCUGCCUGUGAGCCUGCUGCUGCUCGUGCUGGGAUCCCUCUCUCACGCACUUUACUAGUAACUGAGAUAUGACAAGAGAUUUUCAGCUUUUCUUUGCUUUUUGAUUAUUGAACUUCAGUUACUCCUAAUAAAAAUACGCGGCUGAAAUGCCAGUGGAGGGCAGCAGAGAGAAUUGAAAUAAACUGCUUUUUUUCCCCCUGAAACUUUGCACAAUAAAAUCUAUUCAAGUUUGUUUGUAUGUUUUUGAACAUAUUUUAAAUGCAAUUGGAGCAGACUGGUUAGAGAGGGCGUCUUGCUCCGAGGGAGGAAGGCACCUGGAAUCAAGCAGCAGCAUCGCUUUAAAAAGAAAACAUAAAUAAAAGUGUUAUGGCAAAUUUUGAGGGUGAUUUGCCACAGUGAGCAGCCUGGGCAGCAGCUUAAGCUUGGCGUGUACUAUUGAUUGGAAAAUGAAUGGAAUGCCCCAACUUACAGGGUAAUACAGAUAUGAUAGUUUCAUGUGGUCCAAGCACCUUGGUACUCCCAUACCUUACGUAUUGUGUUGAAGUGUGGGGGAAUACUUACAAGAACACAAUUAAUCCUCUGAUCAUAUUACAGAAAAGAGCAAUACGGAUCAUUAACACGGUUGGUUUUCUAGACCAUACUCAUAAUCUGUUUAUGC